GGGGCAGGCAAGAUAUUGCAGAGCCAGUGUUCAGGCAGCCGGUUGCGGUGUGUGUUGCUUUUUCAGUCUGUAGAAUUUUUUGAACUACUUACCAACUGCCUCAGCGGGGCUGAAGAUGCUAUCCCGGCAAGGUUCGCCCUAAUCACUUGCUUGUAACCAGUCUGGCGCUGGAAUCAUGGCGUGAUGGGUGCUUUCUUCACGAUCUUCCAGGUUCAAGAGCAUGCAUAGCCUGGGUGUCAGAGGUGUUGUUUGGAAGCUUACAUCCCUAAAGGUGGGGCUUCCAAUAGCAAAGUGGAGAUGGAUUGGGAGAGUUCAGGAUCCUGCUCUGGAACGUCAGUCGACUCACUAGUACAAAAGGCUGAAGGUAUUACCAGGUCAGUAAGAUCACUGGCUCAUUGAUAAAUGCUUACUGGAUCCCAUUAUAUUGAUCUGAAAGCCCAAUAUCAGUUUACAGACACAUCAAGAAAACCAUUCACAGUCAGAAAUAUGUUCCCCAGAAUACCCUUGGGUGCAGUUCAAAGAGGAUUGGGUUCCUCCAGAACCAGUCCCGAUUCCUCCAGGGAGACAGCAACCUGAUCCAUAAAAAGAAGUAAAUGCUUAAAUGAUGUGUUUUUAGGCAUUAAGCAGCAGAGAUAUUGAGAGCAUCUUGGUAAUUAGGGCUUAGGUGGAUUCUUAAGGAAACGAAUUUAUCACCAGGCAUCAAUUAAGCCCUGACUUUGUUCAAACAUCUCCAGAAACGCUGCAGGUAUGAGACCGAGUCCUCAGGGAGUAGAGAUCCACCAGGGGAUCAGAUAUGAGCCAGUGUGUGUCUCCCAAGAAGAUGAGGCCCACCAGCAAGGCCACAUCAGCCUCAGUGCCAAAACAGCACAGCCUCCCAGCUGUGACUGCCCAUGAACCAACAGUCCUACACCAGGGUUGCUCUCAUGGACUAUGUGCGGGAAUGUAUCUGCUCUGUGUCAACUUACACUAAGGCCUCACGCACGACACCCAGAAAGUAACCAAGGCAGAGGCACUGCUGCAGCUCAUCACCCACACAAUUAAGGGCCUGGAUCCCAGGACACUGCUGGGUAAGAGAAGACACUAGCUCUUGGGAGCACCUUUGAACCUCUAUGGGACUUUUACCUGAGAAGCACUGACGGCACUGUAUCCAGACCCCUUCGGACCCUUCCUCCCAUUGGACACAUCUGAAAUCAGAAGUUGGGGCUGGGGAAAAGAAAGGGAUGCCGGGAAAGGCCACCUCUGGCCAGGGAAAGAGGAUGGGCCCUACUGUUCAGCAGGAAAUGCAGGAUGAAAGUGCGCAGAUCAUUUACCAGAAACGUGGGUUGGGCCGAUGAUAGUGAAUUAUCUCAUAAGAUCACCUCCAUCUCCAAGAUACCCAUGGUUUCAUGGUAUUAACUUCUCACUAACCACACGUUAUACACUGCUACAUGAGAGAGAGGUUCAGAGACAGAACUCUUGGUUCCUUCUCUGGUAACUUGGAAUGUGGAGACAUGACAGGUUCCUGAUAACGACCCAAGCCAUUUCCACGUUGCGCACAAUGGGAUAACAAGCCAAGUGGAGAAUGGGAUGUUCUCUUCAACUGCCAGGAUUAGUGUUUCAAGCCAAUUGUACCAGAGCAGGAAGCUUUAGCCAUUUCCCAAAACACCCUCUGUUGGAGGACAAGCAACCCCUUGCUUCUACCGCAUGUGUUCCCAAACCUGCAGAGUAUUGAGGACAGUGCCUUCAGG